UGGGGAAUAUUGGACAAUGGGCGAAAGCCUGAUCCAGCAAUGCCGCGUGUGUGAAGAAGGUCUUCGGAUUGUAAAGCACUUUCGACGGGGACGAUGAUGACGGUACCCGUAGAAGAAGCCCCGGCUAACUUCGUCCAG
rnacentral:rRNA from 1 species